rnacentral:rRNA from 1 species
UACGAAGGGGGCUAGCGUUGUUCGGAUUUACUGGGCGUAAAGGGCGCGUAGGCGGCCACCGCAAGUCGACUGUGAAAUCUCCGGGCUUAACCCGGAAAGGUCAGCCGAUACUGCGGGGCUAGAGUGCAGAAGGGGCAACUGGAAUUCUCGGUGUAGCGGUGAAAUUCGUAGAUAUCGGGAGGAACACCAGUGGCGAAGGCGGCGACCUGGGCCAAUAUUGACGCUGAGGUGCGAAAGCGUGGGGAGCAAACAGG